rnacentral:rRNA from 1 species
UAAGGAAUCUUUCGCAAUGGGGGAAACCCUGACGAAGCGACACCGCGUGAACGAUGAAGGUCGGAAGAUCGUAAAGUUCUUUUCUGAGGGAAAAAUUCUGAUGGUACCUCAGGAAUAAGCACCGGCUAACUCCGUGCCAGCAGCCGCGGUAAGACGGAGGGUGCAAGCGUUAUCCGGAAUUAUUGGGUGUAAAGUGUCCUUAGGUGGUUUUUUAAGUCGGGUGUCAAAGCCUGAAGCUCAACUUCAGUCAGGUAUCCGAUACUGGAAAACUAGAGAUCUCGAGAGGCAAGUGGAAUUUUGCGUGUAGGGGUAAAAUCCGUUGAUACGCAAAGGAACACCAAAAGCGAAAGCAGCUUGCUGGCGAGUUUCUGACACUUAUGGACGAAAGCGUGGGGAGCGAAAAGG